GACGAACGCUGGCGGCGUGCCUAAUACAUGCAAGUCGAGCGCAGGAAACUGACGGAACUCUUCGGAGGGAAGGCAGUGGAAUGAGCGGCGGACGGGUGAGUAACACGUAAGGAACCUGCCUCAAGGAUUGGGAUAACUCCGAGAAAUCGGAGCUAAUACCGGAUAGUUCAACGGACCGCAUGGUCCGCUGAUGAAAGGCGCUCCGGCGUCACCUUGAGAUGGCCUUGCGGUGCAUUAGCUAGUUGGUGGGGUAACGGCCCACCAAGGCGACGAUGCAUGGCCGGCCGGAGAGGGUGAUCGGGCACACUGGGACUGAGACACGGCCCAGACUCCUACGGGAGGCAGCAGUAGGGAAUCGUCCACAAUGGACGAAAGUCUGAUGGAGCAACGCCGCGUGAGUGAUGAAGGUUUUCGGAUCGUAAAACUCUGUUGUAAGGGAAGAACACGUACGAGAGGGAAUGCUCGUACCUUGACGGUACCUUACGAGAAAGCCACGGCUAACUACGUGCCAGCCGCCGCCGUAAUAC
rnacentral:rRNA from 1 species